GGUAGUUAUAGAUAGUGGCUAUUGUCUUUCAAUCUGUUAUUUUGUUAUAAUGUAUAGUAGUGGGUUGUUAGUGAUAUGUUAUAUUAUGUAAAGUAGACUAGGUUAUAAUGUAUAGUAGUGGGUUGUUAGUGAUAUGUAGAUGUUAUAUUAUGUAAAGUAGACUAGGUUAUAAUGUAUAGUAGUGGGUUGUUAGUGAUAUGUAGAUGUUAUAUUAUGUAAAGUAGACUAGGUUAUAAUGUAUAGUAGUGGGUUGUUAGUGAUAUGUAGAUGUUAUAUUAUGUAAAGUAGACUAGAUUAUAAUGUAUAGUAGUGGGUUGUUAGUGAUAUGUAGAUGUUAUAUUAUGUAAAGUAGACUACGUUAUAAUGUAUAGUAG
ensembl:lncRNA